ensembl:processed_transcript
UUUUUCCCCUGUACAAGGACUGCAUUUGUUGGCAUGAGAGAUAAAGAGAAUGGCUUGAAGCUAAAGGAGAGAUUUACUGAAGAAUGCACUGAAGUGGAUUUCAAAUGAAGAGUUCUACUGUCUGCAAAAUAUGAAGACGCGGUCAGUGUAAUAGUGUUGGGCAGUUGCCAGCUGUCUGGGUCAGACACGUUUUAGACUCGAGCUGCUGUCUGGAAGAAGCCGCUUUAUACUCAUGAAUGUUCGUCUGCACAGUUGCCGCUUCAGCUUCUGCUGGCAAGCAAAUGGAUAGUUCGGCACAAGUUCCUAAUAUAGAUCUGCUGCUCUGGAAUAACAUGAAGGGAGUCGUUAUGGAUUCUUGCCCUGCUCAUGGCUGACAAAGAUGCAGGCUUGAGUCCUUCCUUGAGACUUCACCUUUAGGAAGACUUCUAAACCUGGAAUUAACUGUGGACUUGGGAUUCUAGUGUAUCGAGGAUGCUUGUCACGGGUGUGUUAUGGUGCGAAGCUGGAUUGACCGUAUCGCUUUAAUCCACUUGUAGCCUCCCCCUACCCCCACCCCAUGUCAGAUCUUCCCUAAAUUAUGGAAAUUUUUUGGAAGACGCUGACUUGGAUAUUUAGCCUGGUUUUGGCCGCUGCUGAAGCUCAGAUCCUUUCGUACAACUCUCAAGGUAAGCUUAAUAAUGUGUGGAUAAGAACAGAAAGAUGACUGUUGCUGUAACAGCUGAUGUCAUAGCAGUUCUAAAAAUUCAACAAGCCAUAACUCAUUUUGGCUCACACUGAUGUCAUUAAGACACUUUCAACUCUACCCAGAGGAAACUUUCAUUGCUCAGUAAUGCUUCAUGCAAGCUUGUUUUCUAAAAGUCUUUUAUAAAGAAAUUUAAGCUGAGAAACAAAUGAAAAUUUUGUUGACCUCCAUAAAUGAAGGUUAAGUCUGGGUCACUAGGUAAACUGAAUUCUGGUUAUCUUGUGUCAAGUUUUAGACUGCUCUUUACCUGAGUUAACAGUUAAUCCUAGGAAUUCAUACCCUUACGUUUCACUUUCUGUAAUUUUUAACCCUUGGUUAAUGUCCUUCAAUGCGUAUUUGCAAUGUCAGCAACACUGAUUGGAUGAACACAGCAGGCAACUUGU